rnacentral:rRNA from 1 species
UACGUAGGGUGCGAGCGUUGUCCGGAAUUACUGGGCGUAAAGAGCUCGUAGGUGGUUUGUCGCGUUGUCCGUGAAAACUCACAGCUCAACUGUGGGCGUGCGGGCGAUACGGGCAGACUGGAGUACUGCAGGGGAGACUGGAAUUCCUGGUGUAGCGGUGGAAUGCGCAGAUAUCAGGAGGAACACCGGUGGCGAAGGCGGGUCUCUGGGCAGUAACUGACGGCUGAGGAGCGAAAGCGUGGGGAGCGAACAGG